rnacentral:tRNA from 5 species
GGGCCUAUAGUAAAGUGGUAUUACACCGCAUUCGCAUUGCGGGGGCGGGAGUUCGAUUCUCCCUAGGUCCA